CACGCAGGCGGUCGGAUAAGUCAGAUGUGAAAGCCCCGGGCUCAACCUGGGAACUGCAUUUGAAACUGUCUGACUAGAGUCUUGUAGAGGGGGUAGAAUUCCAGGUGUAGCGGUGAAAUGCGUAGAGAUCUGGAGGAAUACCGGUGGCGAAGGCGGCCCCCUGGACAAAGACUGACGCUCAGGUGCGAAAGCGUGGGGAGCAAACA
rnacentral:rRNA from 1 species